GAUGAACGCUGGCGGCGUGCCUAAUACAUGCAAGUCGAGCGAACAGACGAGGAGCUUGCUCCUCUGACGUUAGCGGCGGACGGGUGAGUAACACGUGGAUAACCUACCUAUAAGACUGGGAUAACUUCGGGAAACCGGAGCUAAUACCGGAUAAUAUAUUGAACCGCAUGGUUCAAUAGUGAAAGACGGUUUUGCUGUCACUUAUAGAUGGAUCCGCGCCGCAUUAGCUAGUUGGUAAGGUAACGGCUUACCAAGGCAACGAUGCGUAGCCGACCUGAGAGGGUGAUCGGCCACACUGGAACUGAGACACGGUCCGGACUCCUACGGGAGGCAGCAGUAGGGAAUCUUCCGCAAUGGGCGAAAGCCUGACGGAGCAACGCCGCGUGAGUGAUGAAGGUCUUCGGAUCGUAAAACUCUGUUAUUAGGGAAGAACAAAUGUGUAAGUAACGAUGCACGUCUUGACGGUACCGAAGCAGAAAGCCACGGCUAACUACGU
rnacentral:rRNA from 1 species